ACUUAGAUUAACCCCCUACAGCCUCUGGCAGGAACAAAGGCAUGGAUGAAAGAGAGAGGAGCGUGGUGAUACAAAGCUGACUGCAGAGACACAUGGCUUCUGCCAAUGCCAGAGGAACAGGGCAAAGUUCAGCAUCAUCCUCUCUGCUGAAAUAACCAACAUGGUGCUCAUUAAUUGGUCAUGUGAGCACUAAGGAUAACCACCCUCCCCUCCUCAAUCAGGAUCACAAAUGCUAGCUUUCAUAUGGAUUUCAAGCUGGGUGAAAUGACUUUUUUUGCUUGUAAAGAAGAAAUGAUGAUGGAGGUCUCAUCAGGAAGUGAUGCAGAAGACUGGGACAGCAUAUCUCAAAAAUCAAGAUGAAUCCUUAAGCUUUCUACCCAGAUGUUGUGGGAACUUGAAGACAAAGUCUCAAAGAGACUCCGUUUUGGUCAACAAUUAGCCCUUCCACAUUUGGAUCCUGGGCCACAUGUGGAAAUAAAGAGUUCCAGAAGAAUUCUCCCAUGAAGGCAUUGGAAUGCUUCAAUACAUAGUUUUGUGCCAAAUCUACAAUAAUCUUCCCAAAAGAAAGACUCUUCAGUGUUCUGGAUUUUUCGGGACUUAUCUUAUUUUCUUGUGCAACAUCUUAACACAAACUAGAAUAAAGAUGACAUAUAAUCAUCUGCAUUCAUGAA
rnacentral:lncRNA from 1 species